rnacentral:rRNA from 1 species
AACGAACGCUGGCGGCAUGCCUAACACAUGCAAGUCGAACGAGACCUUCGGGUCUAGUGGCGCACGGGUGCGUAACGCGUGGGAACCUGCACUUAGGUUCGGAAUAACUCCCCGAAAGGGGUGCUAAUACCGGAUAAUGUCUUCGGACCAAAGAUUUAUCGCCUUUGGAUGGGCACGCGUUGGAUUAGCUAGUUGGUAGGGUAAAAGCCUACCAAGGCGACGAUCCAUAGCUGGUCUGAGAGGAUGAUCAGCCACACUGGGACUGAGACACGGCCCAGACUCCUACGGGAGGCAGGAGUGGGGAAUAUUGGACAAUGGGCGGAAGGCUGAUCCAGCAAUGCCGCGUGAGUGAUGAAGGCCUUAGGGUUGUAAAGCUCUUUUACCCGGGAUGAUAAUGACAGUACCGGGAGAAUAAGCCCCGGCUAACUCCGUG